UGCUGUGAAGAGGAAUCUGGUCUGAUCCAUGAUGAAGGGCCAAAGCUCAGAGC
rnacentral:ncRNA from 19 species